GUGCAUGUUUUGGCCCUCCUUGCCGUCUCUCCGUGACAAUAGGGGGGGUCAAGCACAAACAUGCUAGAUUAACGCUGAAAUAUUCGGGAGCUAACAGGGCCACCAGUCUUUCAAGGCCAGACUGAGUCGGUAGUAUAAAACUCCCACAGUU
rnacentral:snoRNA from 1 species